CAGUAGUGUAGGUAGGGGUAAAGUGACUAUAUAUAGAUAAUAAACAGACAGUAACAGUAGUGUAGGUAGGGGUAAAGUGUCUAUAUAUAGAUAAUAAACAGUAACAGUAGUGUAGGUAGGGGUAAAGUGACUAUAUAUAGAUAAUAAACAGACAGUAACAGUAGUGUAGGUAGGGGUAAAGUGUCUAUAUAUAGAUAAUAAACAGUAACAGUAGUGUAGGUAGGGGUAAAGUGUCUAUAUAUAGAUAAUAAACAGUAACAGUAGUGUAGGUAGGGGUAAAGUGACUAUAUAUAGAUAAUAAACAGACAGUAACAGUAGUGUAGGUAGGGGUAAAGUGUCUAUAUAUAGAUAAUAAACAGUAACAGUAGUGUAGGUAGGGGUAAAGUGACUAUAUAUAGAUAAUAAACAGACAGUAACAGUAGUGUAGGUAGGGGUAAAGUGUCUAUAUAUAGAUAAUAAACAGUAACAGUAGUGUAGGUAGGGGUAAAGUGUCUAUAUAUAGAUAAUAAACAGUAACAGUAGUGUAGGUAGGGGUAAAGUGACUAUAUAUAGAUAAUAAACAGUAACAGUAGUGUAGGUAGGGGUAAAGUGACUAUAUAUAGAUAAUAAACAGUAACAGUAGUGUAGGUAGGGGUAAAGUGACUAUAUAUAGAUAAUAAACAGACAGUAACAGUAGUGUAGGUAGGGGUAAAGUGACUAUAUAUAGAUAAUAAACAGUAACAGUAGUGUAGGUUGGGGUAAAGUGACUAUAUAUAGAUAAUAAACAGUAACAGUAGUGUAGGUAGGGGUAAAGUGACUAUAUAUAGAUAAUAAACAGACAGUAACAGUAGUGUAGGUAGGGGUAAAGUGUCUAUAUAUAGAUAAUAAACAGUAACAGUAGUGUAGGUAGGGGUAAAGUGUCUAUAUAUAGAUAAUAAACAGUAACAGUAGUGUAGGUAGGGGUAAAGUGACUAUAUAUAGAUAAUAAACAGACAGUAACAGUAGUGUAGGUAGGGGUAAAGUGUCUAUAUAUAGAUAAUAAACAGACAGUAACAGUAGUGUAGGUAGGGGUAAAGUGUCUAUAUAUAGAUAAUAAACAGUAACAGUAGUGUAGGUAGGGGUAAAGUGACUAUAUAUAGAUAAUAAACAGUAACAGUAGUGUAGGUAGGGGUAAAGUGACUAUAUAUAGAUAAUAAACAGUAACAGUAGUGUAGGUAGGGGUAAAGUGACUAUAUAUAGAUAAUAAACAGACAGUAACAGUAGUGUAGGUAGGGGUAAAGUGACUAUAUAUAGAUAAUAAACAGACAGUAACAGUAGUGUAGGUAGGGG